GGGGGGGGCGGUCUGAAAUAGUUCCCUGCACGGAUCAGGGCUCCUCUUCCAGAUCCGUUUUCUCGGAGGAAAGGCACAAGGUCCCCGCGGCUGUAACCUAAGAGCUGAAGAUGGCCGGGAGAUUAUUUUUACAUUAAGAGCAACUCAAGGAUGCAAACGUGCCUCUGAGGGGUUUUGCACGUCGCGAUUCCGCUGGGGCAUGUGCAGUCCCCUGGCCGAGCGCCGCUCCCCGGGCUGCAGGGCUCCCCGCUGCCACUCUGCAACUCAAGCCCGGAUGCCUCUUGAUUCAGACCUAAGCACCCAAGGCCAACGCCCAUUGAAGUAAAUUAAAACGUCAGUACAGCUGAAGAUUUUUUCUGCCUGAUGCUUCAGUAAAGUCUGAAGUCUUGUCUUGACAUGGCAAAAGUAGCAAAGAGGAGACUGAUCUUAGAUGAGAAAGCUCAUCCAUGCAGGAGAUGGAGUUUUAUGAGGGUCUGCAAUGACAAAAACUUGAGGGUCUGCCCAUGACAAAUGUUAUUACCUUGUCUUAAAAGUGUAAAGUACAUGUCUCCAUCUUGCUUUUUCUAACAGAAAUAUAGACCAAUGUAGCCAUUAAAAAACAAACCAAAACCUACCAAAAAAGCCCAGCCAUUGAAAGAUGGCAAUUAAGGGAAAGACUCAUGACAAAUGUCCAUCAUACCGCCUAAUAUGUUCUCAGAAGAUACCACAGCCAUUGAGAUGAUUUAAGGCAGUUUAAGAAGAUAGGUGAGGAAUAACAGCACUUUCAGUUCUUAAGGUUCUCUGACAUUUCCCAUUAUAAGCCCCUGUUCAGUUAUUUCUAGAUUAGCAUACUUUUUAUCAGUAUGGGUUGAAAUUUCCCUACCAUGUGUUUGCUUCAAACUGAAGAAAUCUGGAAAAUUGGCCUAAUUUUUUUAGCUGUUUUCAAGAAUGAGACUAGGGAAAAAUGUACUGGUUGGUCCAUGUUUAAAAACUACUUAAGUCCUUUGAAAUGCUAUAGUGCUACAGUACUUCAAAGCAGGGAUCUGAUCUUUGGCAGAGGGGUAACCUUUGUAUCAGUCAAGGAGGUGUCUUUUGCUAUUCCUGUGAAAAACUGUCUGUAUUUGGCCAAGCUUGUGUGUAGUGACUGAGGAAGGGGACAACAAGAGAAAGGAUGGUUUCAAGAUUAAGGCAGUUAAAUGUUGCCUUGGAGAACCAGUACUAUCUUAUGGCACAAUUACUUAUUCUGCUGAAAUGCAUGUGUAGAUAGUGACAGGCUGGCUGGGACACAGGGGUGCUAAAGUGCGGGGACUGCCUGCUGCAUGUCUCCAUACUUUAAUGCUUUCAUGCCCCGGCCAUUCCCUCCGCUGCCACCCUGAGCCCAGGACUGACCCACCAAGCGUGUUGCCAGCCCAGGGCUACUCUGCCUCAGCUCAAACUGCUGCUGUCCUGGGCUCAUGUGCAGAGACUAGGCCCAGGAGCAGUUGAAUGGUGCAAACAGCUCCAGAAUUUAUUAUGCUGCAUUAACUUCGUGCAAGGAUGAGAUGCACCUAGUGGGUACUUUGUUUUCUACAUGAUGCACUAUAUACUGCUAAAUACGCUGAAAAAGGCAUGUCCUAGGCAUGCCAGAUUGGGUACCCAAAAUUAGGGGGUACUUUUGACUUUAAUCUCUACUUGCCUCAAUUCUCUGUUUCUAAAAGGAGAAUAACAAUGUGUUUAAUUUCAAAGUGCAUCAUGCAUUGCAGGGCCAAAUUAAGGUUCUACAUACAAACCUUCUUAUUGGUAUUUUCAAAUUUGUGAGUGCUUGGUUUUAGCACAUUUCCAAUUAUUGUUAUGUACUAUAAAGCACUGUUAUUACUUCCCAGCUGUAUCAAAUGAGAAGAUGGUCUGGGAACUCACAGACAACUGUUAGCACAUACAGCCCUUGAUAAGUGGCAGAAUCUCUCCUGGCCUCAUACUGCCCUAUGAAGAGCCUCAAAGAGUCAUGUGGACAGAACCAGGCUUAAUGGCUUUUUAUUAAAGUAUAUUUAAAAGGCAAAUCCAUGUCUUUUAAACUCUGAUUAUAUUGGAAAAGCUUCUUGGGCACACUGGAAGGCUCUAUCCAAGAUUCUCAAUUUUGGAAUAGUACCAACAGUAACAUCCAUCUAUCUGGAGUUGUAUCUAUGAGAGUUGUUUUAGCUCAGUUUCCUGUCUUUUCUUUUAUUUCUCAUGUGCUACAUAUUCACCUUCCUUCAAGCUUUCUUAGCCAACCACUUGGAUGAAGGAUGAGGAAGAAGGACUGGUGGAAGGAGGACCAGUAUACGAAAAUAAUUCCAUAUCUUGUAAUUGUUGGUGAUAUAGAGGUGGGGUAGAAGGCUGAAGGAGACACCUGUGCAGCUCAGUUUAGAGCCAAUUGUUCUAAAUAAUCUAUGCAGCUCUCUAUAAUGAUACCAAUUUUCUAUCAUCCACAUAAGCUGCAAGUUUAUCCUAGAACACUCUCCUACCCCCAUCUCUCAUUUGGAAUGAGAUAUGUGCUCAAUAUCAACUCCCCCAAAGCAGCUGAAUGCAAGGAAAUGAAAGAAAGAAUGCACUGAAUUAGACCUGGAUUUGAACUUUUAAGUCUCCACUUGCUGAGCAUAACUUUUCACUUUGGAUUUGACUGAUCCAACAGCCAUGAACGUGCGCAUAUGUGUGUGCAUGUAUAAGAGAGAGAGAGAGAGAGAGAAAGUGUGUGUGUUCAGACUCUGGGAACUUCAGGCUGAUACAGCCCCAAGUUUAUUCUGAGCCUCAAUUCAUUUAGCAUUUGCAGGGUGAACUAUUUCAAGAAUGUGCAAGAAUCAGUCCCUAAAAAGGCAGACUGAGACGUGGUGGAGUGUGGGGGAUGGGAUUGUACAGUAAGACAGCAUUUCCCCAUGGCAGUUUAAAACAGAUCUUUUUUUUCAUCCAAGUCAAAUCCCCCAACAUGACCUGAGAAGUUUUCUAAUAAAAUGUAGAUGUAACCUUAUCUAAACUCAGUGCAGCAAAUGUACGAUGGAUAAUGUGUAAUUAAUAACAGAAAAUAAUGUUUCCCCUGUUAUUAAAUCAAGGCCCCUUUUGGCCUUUCACCCUCAUAUAAGUGUCUCUAGUUUUAUGACAGCAAUGGACGACAUUAAUGUGUGUGAGUAUGUGUGCAUAUGUGUGUGUGCUGUUGGCAAAAGGCUCACCUAACUCUAGCUAGAAUUGGCUUAAGGUGGGUUUUUUUUUUGCCUCUAGUAGUUUAUAUGGAGUUUGGCCCCCAGAUGAACUCAAUCAGUGUAUGAAACUGAUCUGGUUCCUUUGAGUGCAGAUUCCACCCAUAUAUCUCAGCGUAACUAUAUCUAACUAUUUACACACACAAAUAGACAGACAAGGAAGGGGAGCAUUUCUGUUGGACUCCCUAAUGCAUUUCCAGGCUUGAAUAUAUACUGGAAGAAUGUAUCAAUAUUUAUAUGUGCAUGCAGCAAACAAGUAGGAAACAAAGAGCAGUUGAACUAUGCUAUAAGGAAUAAGCAUUUUUGUCACAGUACAGUAAAUCCUUGCUGCUUACAAGAGGAUGGCUUCUCACUGGAAAUGAUUUCCUGCUUUAAUUUUUGCUUCCCAUCAGCAAGUUGUCACUGUUGACAAAAAUUACUGUGUGUGUAUAUAUAUUAUAUAUGUGUGUGUGUGUGUGUGUGUAUUAUAUAUAUAUAUAGGAGCCAGUGUAUAUACUUUAUAGAAAUGGAAGAAUUAGAGAGAAAAAUGGAGCAACAAAAUGCAUUAAAAUGCAUUAUCAGCAGGGACUUUUUUUUUUAACCCAUACUGUUUUUUUCUGAAUAUCUCCCCCUCCCCCACCCCAAUAUGUUCAUUGUAAGUAAUGCUAUCGAGCCCCAAAGGUCACCAGGCUUGUCUGAUGUAUAGGCUUCCCUUCUGAUUCAUUAUGUUUGAUGCACAGCUUUUCCUGGAGUCAACUCAGCCAAACCUUUGGGUUAAUGGAAGCCACACCAGCUCCUAAUCCAGUAGCUUUGAAUUCUUCUGUUUGUAUUGGAUAUAGAGGCUGAGGCGCUGUGGAAAAGCCUGGUCUUUUAGGGUCAGAGAAGUUCCUUUUGAUCAUCAUCAGCAGUGAUGUGAACCAGAGGUCACACAUUUUCCACCAGUCCUCCAGAUCUACCAGACAGCAGCAACUGUGUCUGCUUGUUUCCCCUGCUGAAGUCAUGCAAUGCUUCUCAUUCUACCUCCCACGUGCCAAUGGGACCUGGCAUUCCCCUUCUGCCACUGGUUUACCAGGGACUCUGGGCCACAAGGGACAAUAUCUUGUCACCACCUUAAGUCUGAAUGCAACUCUUUCCACCCCCUCCAUUCAACUGAAAGGCAACAAAUUCUUUGCUCAUCUCAGAGGUCUGUACCUUUCCCCAGCAUGUUUUUCCCUUAGCAAUUUCCUGAAGGCACUAAAAGAAGUGGAGAUAUUAGAAUCCUUUAGGAUUCAGAGAAAAACAUUUUCCUCAAAGAUGGGUGAAAAGAGACUCACCUUCACUGCAUCCAUGGAAAACAGACAGGAGUAGCCAGGCUUUAGGGAUUUACUGAUCUGUCAUAAUAUUUAUACAUAGAUCUGUUUAGGGAUAUAUCACAUACUUCUCACCCUAUCAGUUUGCCUAUCACAUGAAGCUCUGUGAGUACAUGUAAGUAUGUGUAGAGGUAAAAUAUUUUUCUUCCUGUAGCAAAACUAAAAAUGUCACUAAUCUAUUCUUUUUGCAUGUCUCUCUCUCUCACAUACACACACACACACACACGCAUGCACGCAUGCAUGCAUGCACACAGCCAUUUGUUGCAUAAUUUGUAUGUCUGCCCAGUUCUCUGACUAUAGCUUCCAAAGGGGUAAACAUAACCCCUGCCUUUUGUGCUGUGAUAGAAGGAAUGUCAAGAAGGUUUUGCCAGCCUUACUGACUGAUAAGUCUUCUGUUCAGCAUUCAGACAUGCUAGCCUUCACCAUCUCUGUGUGAAGUAAAUACCACACUACAUUUUUGACAACGACCUUCCUCUCCCCCCCUCCAAACAAACAAAAAACUGCAAGUUCAGGACAUAUCAACUUUUUGGUUUAGUACCAGCGACAGGAUUCAAAGCCAUAAUACCUUUCGCCUGCAGUAGGAUAAAGGACAGAACUGAAGCUGCGAACAUUUAUCGUUUGGCUGAUAAAGGUAUUUGUAGAUGUUACUGUUAGAAACAGAUCCAUUCAGAUAAGGUCAGAAUGCAACUGGCAUGUGACACAUGGAUCUUUAAUGGGGGAGAAAAGGAAGUAGUCUUUUGUUCCCUUGUUUGUGCCUUACAGGGGUGGGCUACUCUCCUAGAUGUAAGAGCUGCUGUUCAUCGGGGCUACCAUCUUCCCAGGUGUUAGAUUCUUAACGACAGGUUUAGUUGGUAGAGCAUAGCCUAUGCCCUUAUUGUCCUGCAGGCCCUUGAAGAGGAUUACCUGCAGAAGGAAGCAUAUGUAGCACUCUUCUAAAAAUGGUUUGGAUCUGAGGAGGGAUUGGAACCAACUGGCCACUGCCUUGGCCUUUGUAUGUUGAUAUAUAGUUGAACACAAAUGCUAAAUCACAACUGUACAUGAAUAAGUCCACAUGGAAACCAGGAUCAUGAAUAGAGCUGGUCAGAAAAAGGAUUGUCUAGCCUGGAGCAGGAGAUGGAGGGAGAGACUUUUUUUCCUAAUUCAUCAUAAUUGGGACAAAUUUUUUACAAAGGAACAUUGUAAAAAAAAUCAUGGGUUGUCAAUUAAUGAUCAGUUUUCCUCAUUGUUUUACAGCGAAAAAAGUUUAAAAGUUACAUUUAAAAAAUAAUACAUCAAAAAAAUCCAAAGUACUUUCCAUUCUGCAAACAAUAUUACCAAAUUUAUCAAAAAGAGUCUCAGUGACAUCAUAGUCCCUGGAAAAAAAAAUACUUGUUCCACCAAAAAUGGCAUUGUCUGGUGGAAAACGACUUUGACAAUUUUUAUUUUUAUUUUUUUUGCAAUCAGCUCAAACAACAAUGCAGACUACAAGGCAGGGGAGAAUCAAGUGCAGUGUUCCAAAGAGAAACCAUGGUGGCCACACAGCCCUGCACCACCUCCUAUUCAGUGCUAGGCUGUGACAGCACAACUGGCCCACAGAAUCCAUUUGAGAAACAGGUGGAAACAAGUUACACUUUAGAAAUGAAUGUGUUGUGCUAAUUGUGUGUAUUCAUAGAAAAGCCCCCUUCCCUGCCUCCCAAAUCAAAGCAUGCAUUUGUUUCCAGUAUCCUUCCACUCUGAAGAUCAUUAAUACACUGUGACACUGAGGUCACAGGUCAAGUUUGAGAUUAUGGUCCACAUCCUCAACUGAUGUAGCUCUUAAGUGGAAGGAGUGACGCUAAUUUACACUUGGCACUCUGCUAAUUUACACCAAUGAGGACUUGUCUCCUUGGGGGAAAACUGGGAAAAAUUGCUUUUGAAACAAGAUGUCAAGGGUUCUUCCCCAUUUAAUAGUCAUCAAGGACUUCAGGACUAGACAUUCAUAUCAUCGGAGGGGGCAGGUCCUCAGCCUGUGUAACACUGGCAUAGCUCCAUUUAUGCUUCUCUCCUUUUACUCUUCUGUGCACAAUGAUUCUAUACUGUUGUAAAUCAAAUGGCUUCAGAGAAGGCCUUUGCUUCUGAUUCACACCAACUGGAGUGAAAUGAGAAUUAGGUUCCAUAACAUUUUGUUUCUGCUUCCUUUUCUUCCUAGCUAAUACUAGCUGUUGGGAAGUAUCAGGUCUGAACUGAGCUCUAGUAGUAACAGUCCACCAACAUCAUCAGAGUUGUUUUUAUUCGCCUUUGGGUUGACUUAAAAACACAAAGAUCUUAGGGUAAAGAACUCAUCUGCUUCUUUUACUGUCCUGCCAUUUAUCUCCUGCUUGAAGCUUCUGUUUGUGACAUCAAAAUUGGCUCCUACAGAAAUGUUUAUGACAUCAGACAGGAUGGUGGUUUCAAGCAGAGAAAAGCAGUGGGAGCAGAUGAUCUCUUAAAAAACAACAAUGUUACAAGAAUGUAAAUAUUAGUAAAUUUAGAAUGAAGGACGAAAUAUACACUAACCAUGGGAAACAGAUACACAAAUGUUUCUGAACAAGGUUUCCAGAAAGCAUCAAAUGCAGAAGGCCUCAGUCCUAGAAGUUCGACAUAUAUGCUUAAUUUUAAGCACAGAAAUAAUCCCACAAGAGUCAGUAAGGCUACCUACAUGCUUAAAAUUAAGCACAUGGUUGUUUGCAGGAUUAGGCCUAUAGUUUUCAGCAUAAGUAGAAACAAUUCUGUAGUUAUUUGCAAAACAAAACUUUACCAGAACUAUAUUUUAAGAAUUUUAGUUGACCAAAAAAUGAAUGUUCUGACCUUCUCUAGGUUAUAUCAAACAAAUUAACAGAAAAAUUGUACAUUUAGUUUAAGAUUUCAUAGGGGAACAACAUUUUUACAUUGUAAAACUCAAUCACCUCAGAUUACAUUUUAUUUGAGCUUUUGAGGGUUUUUGUGGUACUUUGGCAUCACUAUUUGUAUUUGAAAAGGGGAGGGGGUCUGGGUUUUGUGAAUUUUGCAUUUUGGGGCUGAUUUUGGACCAUUAUGAGUAUUCUUGGGAGGACUUACAACUGGGUUCUACUCCUACCUCUGCUUUGCUGUGAAUCUGGGCAUAAUACUUAAUCUCCGUAUGUCUCAUCUUUUCCCUACAGCUUUAAAAGAGGACUAAACAACAUUUCUCAACCAGGAAAGCUUGCCAGAUCCUUGGAUAAAAGGUGAUCCUUUCCUGACAACCUAUAGGAUUUAAGAUCUGCAGCACUGCUUUCGAUGUCAAGCUUAUGUAAUAUAUUUACAAAGCUGGAAAGCAGGGCCUUAUUACAGGAUGGCCCAUGAUACUAUUGCCUGCUUCCUCUGGAUAUCAGUGUCAGAGAGCCUUCUUUGAUUUGACAAGUUUUUGGUUUCUGUGUAGGGAAUGGGCACAUGUGAUGAAGUACAAGUUUCAUUUAUAAUUUCUUUAUUAAAAUUGUUUGCUUAUUUGAUGGUGACAACAAGUAAAGGGUUAUCAGUGAUAA